rnacentral:misc_RNA from 1 species
GAUGAAGAACGUAGCGAAAUGCGAUAAGUAAUGUGAAUUGCAGAACUCAGUGAAUCAUCGAGUCUUUGAACGCACAUUGCGCCCCCUGGUAUUCCGGGGGGCAUGCCUGUCCGAGCGUCAUUGCCGCCCUCAAGCACGGCUUGUGUGUUGGGCCCCCGCCCCCCGGCUUCGGGGGGCGGGCCCGAAAGGCAGCGGCGGCACCGCGUCCGGUCCUCGAGCGUAUGGGGCUUCGUCACCCGCUCUGUAGGCCCGGCCGGCGCCCGCCGGCGACCCCAAUCAAUCUUUCCAGGUUGACCUCGGAUCAGGUAGGGAUACCCGCUGAACUUAAGCAUAUCAAUAAGCGGAGGA